rnacentral:rRNA from 1 species
UGCAUAUCCAAAAAGCGGAGGAAAAGAAACUAACAAGGAUUCCCCUAGUAACUGCGAGUGAAGCGGGAAAAGCUCAAAUUUAAAAUCUGGUGGUCUUUGGCCAUCCGAGUUGUAAUCUAGAGAAGUGUUAUCCGCGCUGGMCCGUGUACAAGUCCCCUGGAAUGGGGCGUCAUAGAGGGUGAGAAUCCCGUCUUUGACACGGACUACCAGGGCUUUGUGAUGCACUCUCAAAGAGUCGAGUUGUUUGGGAAUGCAGCUCAAAAUGGGUGGUAAAUUCCAUCUAAAGCUAAAUAUUGGCGAGAGACCGAUAGCGAACAAGUACCGUGAGGGAAAGAUGAAAAGAACUUUGGAAAGAGAGUUAAACAGUACGUGAAAUUGUUGAAAGGGAAACGCUUGAAGUCAGUCGCGUCAGYCAGGGAUCAACCUUACUUUUGUGAGGCGUACUUCCUGGUUGAUGGGUCAGCAUCAGUUUUGGCUGCUGGAUAAAGGUCAGAGAAAUGUGGCACCUCCGGGUGUGUUAUAGUCUCUGAUCAGAUACAGUGGCUGGGACUGAGGAACUCAGCACGCCGCAAGGCCGGGGUUCGCCCACGUUCGUGCUUAGGAUGCUGGCAAAAUGGCUUUAAUCGACCCGUCUUGAAACACGGCCAAAGGGAGUCA